CGUAGGUGGCAAGCGUUGUCCGGAUUUACUGGGCGUAAAGAGCGCGCAGGCGGUCGUGCAAGUCGCGUGUGAAAGCCCCCGGCUCAACUGGGGAGGGUCACGCGAUACUGCUCGACUCGAAGGCAGGAGAGGGAAGUGGAAUUCCCGGUGUAGUGGUGAAAUGCGUAGAUAUCGGGAGGAACACCAGUGGCGAAGGCGACUUCCUGGCCUGUUCUUGACGCUGAGGCGCGAAAGCUAGGGUAGCAAACGGGAUUAGAUACCCCGGUAGUCCUAGCCGUAAACGAUGGACACUAGGUGUUGGUGGUAUCAAACCCCGCCAGUCGCCGAAGCUAACGCAUUAAGUGUCCCGCCUGGGGAGUACGGCCGCAAGGCUA
rnacentral:rRNA from 1 species